ACUCAAGGCCCGUCUAUUCUUCUUGGUAUUGAUGGUGAUAGUGAAGGUGAUGGUGGGGAAGAUGGCAAUGACAGUGACAGUGAUGAAGAGGAUGACAAAGAAGAUCGUGAGCAGGACUCUGAAGAUGACAAUGAAAAUGACAAUGACAAUGACAGUGACGAAGACGAUGGCAAUGACAGUGAUGAAGACGACAAUGAUGAAGAAGAUGAUGAGCAUGACUCUGAUUCCGAGAACAACAAGCUACGUACUUA
rnacentral:lncRNA from 1 species